rfam:Bacillus sp. OxB-1 DNA, complete genome.
AAUAGGGGAACUCAGACUAAAACCGCCGCGUCCAGCGGCGACGUCUGAGUGACCAACAUCCUGUUGG